AUACUCUUCAAUUGAAUACUUCAGUACUCAAACGUAGACACUACACAAUACACACAAAAUAAUAUUAUUCCCAAGAAAUACAUUCCGUAAAACAAAACAGUCGGAUGGAACUUGCAUCCAUAAGGAAUGCACGGAUCAUUUGUGGCAUCGAAUUAUGCGGAUGGCACUGGAACACAAAUAGUAAUAAUAUAUAGAAGAACAAUAUAGAGUAUACUCUGGUGAUGUGUGGCAUCAAAACAUGUUGAGCUUCCAUUUUCUCGUGCAGCAGACCCUCGCUCCUCAAGAUCAUCUCGUUAUAAAUAGGGCCAGUGUUGGCAUCGUCUUUGGUGAGGUUGUCCAUCACAUGUAGCGAGAUCCAUCAUUAGGCCGCAGCUGGAUAAAGCGUUGAUAAAGCUUGCGCGAAUCUAUAUUGGAUGAAAUAAAAGACGAAAAUGUGAAAAUA